AGCGAACGCUGGCGGCAGGCUUAACACAUGCAAGUCGAGCGGGCACUUUCGGGUGUCAGCAGCGGACGGGUGAGUAACGCGUGGGAACGUGCCCUCUGGUUCGGAAUAACUCAGGGAAACUUGAGCUAAUACCGGAUACGCCCUUUUGGGGAAAGGCUUGCUGCCGGAGGAUCGGCCCGCGUCUGAUUAGCUAGUUGGUGAGGUAACGGCUCACCAAGGCGACGAUCAGUAGCUGGUCUGAGAGGAUGAUCAGCCACACUGGGACUGAGACACGGCCCAGACUCCUACGGGAGGCAGCAGUGGGGAAUAUUGGACAAUGGGCGCAAGCCUGAUCCAGCCAUGCCGCGUGAGUGAUGAAGGCCUUAGGGUUGUAAAGCUCUUUUAUCCGGGACGAUAAUGACGGUACCGGAGGAAUAAGCCCCGGCUAACUUCGUG
rnacentral:rRNA from 1 species